rnacentral:rRNA from 1 species
AGAGUUUGAUCCUGGCUCAGAAUGAACGUUGGCGGCGUGGAUUAGGCAUGCGAGUCGCGCGAUAAUGUAGCAAUACAGGACAGCGGCGAAAGGGAGAGGACAACAUAGGAAUCUGCCCUGGGGUCGGGGAUAGCGUCGGGAAACUGACGGUAAUACCCGAUAAUAUCCAAGGAUCAAAGGAGCAAUUUGCCCCGGGAUGAGCCUAUGCCCCAUUAGCUAGUUGGCGGUGUAAUGGACCACCAAGGCUGUGAUGGGUAGCUGGUGUGAGAGCACGACCAGCCUCACUGGCACUGAGACACUGGCCAGACACCUACGGGUGGCUGCAGUCGAGAAUCUUCGGCAAUGGACGAAAGUCUGACCGAGCGACGCCGCGUGUGGGAUGAAGGUCUUCGGAUUGUAAACCACUGUCGAGGGGGAUUAAGGGAAACUUGAAAGAACCCUGGAGGAAGGGGAGGCUAAGCUCGUGCCAGCAGCCGCGGUAAGACGAGCUCCCCAAACGUUAUUCGGUAUUACUGGGCUUAAAGAGUUCGUAGGCGGCGAAGUAGGUGAGGUGUGAAAGCCCUCGG